UACAGAGGUCUCGAGCGUUGUUCGGAUUCAUUGGGCGUAAAGGGUGCGUAGGUGGCGCUGUAAGUCAGGUGUGAAAUUUCGGAGCUUAACUCCGAAACUGCAUUUGAUACUGCGGUGCUUGAGGACUGGAGAGGAGACUGGAAUUUACGGUGUAGCAGUGAAAUGCGUAGAGAUCGUAAGGAAGACCAGUGGCGAAGGCGGGUCUCUGGGCAGUAACUGACGCUGAGGAGCGAAAGCGUGGGGAGCGAACAGG
rnacentral:rRNA from 1 species